rnacentral:rRNA from 1 species
UCGGCUAGGGGGCCAUCCCGGCUUACCAACCCGAUGCAAACUGCGAAUACCGGAGAAUGUUAUCACGGGAGACACACGGCGGGUGCUAACGUCCGUCGUGAAGAGGGAAACAACCCAGACCGCCAGCUAAGGUCCCAAAGUCAUGGUUAAGUGGGAAACGAUGUGGGAAGGCCCAGACAGCCAGGAUGUUGGCUUAGAAGCAGCCAUCAUUUAAAGAAAGCGUAAUAGCUCACUGGUCGAGUCGGCCUGCGCGGAAGAUGUAACGGGGCUAAACCAUGCACCGAAGCUGCGGCAGCGACACUCAGGUGUUGUUGGGUAGGGGAGCGUUCUGUAAGCCUGCGAAGGUGGCCUGUGAGGGUUGCUGGAGGUAUCAGAAGUGCGAAUGCUGACAUAAGUAACGAUAAAGCGGGUGAAAAGCCCGCUCGCCGGAAGACCAAGGGUUCCUGUCCAACGUUAAUCGGGGCAGGGUGAGUCGACCCCUAAGGCGAGGCCGAAAGGCGUAGUCGAUGGGAAACGGGUUAAUAUUCCCGUACUUGGUGUUACUGCGAAGGGGGGACGGAGAAGGCUAUGUUGGCCGGGCGACGGUUGUCCCGGUUUAAGCGUGUA